UAAAAUUUCAUAAUUUUGUUUAUCAGAUAUUUUGAUCACCUAAGUCUCAUACUGAAGAGCUUUCCUUCAAUGACAAUAAUUCACUAAGGCCUUUAAAUAGUUAUAAAAUUAUUUAUUGAAAGAUUUAAUGGUAAUUAAAAUAAAAACAUUAAUAGAAAAUGAAUUCUCUUCUUCAUUAUUAAAUAUUUCCUUUAUAGCACAGUCCUAGGCUUACUGCUCUAUCUUAAUUACAAUAAACUUUAUUGCACUUUGAAAAUGACUGAAUAUUUCCUUCCUUUAUAUUCUAGUCAAAUGUCUCUGGUUUUGCAAUGAGAACAACAUUGUCAAUCUUUUUCUGAAGUAACUCACAUACCACACAUUUCUCCUAAGCUGGGCAAUCAAUUCAAGGGUUUACACUCUCCAGGGCAUUCAAAGAAAGCAGUGCUCAUCCAAUCUUCUGAUCUCCAGGUAUCUUUGUUAAACUGCAGUGAGCAAUGUGACCUCAAUGAUAAAAGUACACAGAGAAACCAUGAAGUUAGAUCUUAGAAAAAUAUACAAAUGCAUAUUUACAUAGAUGGAAGAAUUUUUUCAUUGUUGUCCAUGAAAGGGAAGGAAAGAGGAAAAGAAGAUAGCAAGAUAGCAAGAAUGACUCAGCAAUAUGGGAUUUCACGGUGUUAAGGACAUGAGGAUCAAAGCCGACAGACCUGAAUUUGCAUGCUUGACUGAUGACUUUUUUUCCAGUGAUACUCAGAUUUCCUGUCUGACUACUGAUGUGCCCAUCUGCCUACACGUUGCCAUGCUUCCUAGUUACUGGAGGCAAACAACAAUGAGAGAAGACUAGGAGAGUUGGGGUGUGAAAGGGAGCAUAUAGUCAUCAAUCAGUAUGAUAGAUUUUGGAAAUGCUCAUGAACUUAGGGUAAUCUCUCCCAGGGAUGAAGAUUUUGAAGCCCAAUGUCUUUAAUGCUAUAAAGUUAGUGGACUCUGCUGUAUGUGGUCCAUGGACAGAAUCUAGACAUAUCCCUAUUUCUCAGGAAAAUACAGCUUACACCUGUUUUUAUACUUCCAAAUAUAUCCCAGAUGGAAAGAUAAAUUCUGUGAUCUGCCUGCUGGGAGAAGGCUUUCACAGUCCUUUAAGUUAUGUUUCCAGGCAGCCACUACAAAUUGGUCUAAGUGGCUUUAGAAAUAUAUCACCUUUGCUGUCCCUGGACUUACCAAUAAGAUGCAUUUUCAAAGAAAUUUUGGGCUAUAUUACUCUUACCUUCUUCCUAUGUUAAGAAAUUUCAUGAUUUUCCUAUAUAAAUUUUCAUUCCUUCAUAUAUUAAACUGUUUAAUAGUGCCAAACACAGGAGGAUCUCAGUAAAUAACUGUGAAAGAUAAUGACUUCCAAUCAAGCAAAGAAACUAAUAUGUCUAAGCAUGCUAUUUUUUUUUAGUUUUCAUAAAAACAAAAGGAAGCAAAAGCACCAAACAUUUAUUUUAAGUUUAAUCGUUUUUUAAAGUUUACUAAUGUAAGGUCAGGUGUUCAUACAUCUGUCUAUAAUGUUACUUGUCUGACCAAACUCCAGAAAGUAAAGUAGUGUCAAAAUAAAAUUUUCAGUACCAGAGUGCAGUCACUAUACUAUAUAGUGAAGCUUUGUCAGUUCUCAUGUUAGAAAAUAAAAUAAAUUUGACAUUAA